AAAUUCCUGGGAGACCAGCGGUUCAGCUACGGACAGCCCAUCACACUGACCUUCUGGGUCCCCCCCGGGGGCUCCCCACUCCCCGUGCGGCUGAGGCUGGAAGGGGCGGGCCUGGCCCUGACUCUACGACCCUCCAGCCUGUCGGGCCCCCGGGAUGCUGGGCAGCCGGGGGAGGCCCAGCUCACGUUCCAGUAAGUGCCUUGCGGAGUCCUGGGAGGUGGGGUCGGGCGUUCGGGGUGGUCCCUGAGGUCUGGGCACACUCGGAUCCUCCUGCGGUCUGGGGCCUUCCCCGCUCUCCACCCCAAGCUGGGGGCUCCUUGGUACCACCUGCCCCCGGCCUCAGGUUCCCGUUUGUCCCCCACCCCUACCAGGUUGCAGGAGACCUCUGAGGACGCGGCCCCUCCGCUGCCCCCCUUCCGCUUCCAGCAGCUGCUCGCCAAUCUGACGGCUCUGCGCAUCCGGGCCGGCGGCCAGAGCACAAGCCCUUCCGGUCAGUAAUGAUGGGGACGGCCCUCCUCACCCGCCGGGCCCCGGGGCACCCUCAUGCCUAGCAGACACUUAGCAUCCCCGUUUUGCCACAGAGACGUCUGAAGGUCAGAGAAGUAGGACACUGGCUGAAGGUCAUGGAACU
rnacentral:lncRNA from 1 species